rnacentral:lncRNA from 1 species
GGACCCGCACCUCCCUGUUGACCAUUGACCGCCGUGGUGGACUUCCGGUCCCACUGACCAGGGGCAGGGAUCCCUCCUUCCUGCCGUCCGACACGUGUGAGGGAACGCCUCUCCUUUUACACCCACUCGUGUGGCACUCUCCCCCACUCGGUGUGGUCUCCAUCGGUUGGAUCACCUACACGGUCGAGAGAGACUCGCCAUCUGUAUUCGAUCCAAGACCAAUUUGUUACAGCUCUUGGGAGGUCGGAUGGCAUUGCUAGCUAUUUGUUGCCUGUUAGGCAGGGGGUGGGCCCCGGGACGGAGGAGUGGUAAGGAUCCAACAGCUAUGAUUGGGAGCCCCACGCGGCCGGUAGUCGUUUACCUUUACUCCCACGUGUGCUCGGACGCACAUCGGAGGGCUGUCAUUGGAUCAACGUCUCACGUCAUGGCAACAAGCGAUGGGAGUAGCAAACUUGUCACCUAAUACAUGACACACAUCUGCAGCUUUUGGCUGCUUGAUUCGGAUGGAUGGCAUGGUUCCUCCGCGCAUCACCAUCAUGUGUUUUUUUUUUUAUCGAUACAUCAUCACCGCCUUAUCCUGUCAUCUUCAUAAUUUUUCUUCUUUUCUUCAUAUUUAUAUCAAAAAGAAAGAGGACGAAUUUUUUCUAUCCAAAAAUAAUAAAUUAUGGAUCAACUAUAUUAAAGUAGUCGACUAAGGGGAGCUGAUCAUUAUUAAUUUAUCUUGUUCGCUGCAAUGAUGACGAUACCUUCUCCAAGUAUCGUAUUCAAUUACUUUUAAUCUUUCAUGUAAUCUAGUUUUUGUGAAUCUAUUCUUGUAGAUGUGGGAGUUACCUGUUCCUAUUAAAUAUUUUCAACUUUUUUUAUCAAGACAAACCAAAUUCUAUGUCCUAUUUAAUUCUGUUGAUCUAUCUGGUUGAUCCGACAUGCCAGCAACCUAAUCAAUUAGUAGUUUAUUACUUCACAAAAUAAAAAAAUUAAUAAUUUUUUUUUUUUGGCUUCCCAAAAGAUACCUACUACUGAUUUCUAACAUCUGAGAUGGGAGAAAUAAACAGGAAUAGAGGGGAUUCCUCUAGGGAGCAACCUUAGCGGCACGUACGAGCCACGGGAGUAAAUACCUUGCCGUGGAGUCAUCAUGCCAGAAGCAUUUCAGGAAAGCGAUAGCGAUGCAAGGCACUGCAUUUCUGAUAUGUUUUUCUAAUUUUGGAUCGGGAUAAUUUCACUGAAAAAUACACGAAAAAUUCUGGCUGAGUCCAGUCAACCGUUUCUGUUAUUUUUAUGCUAAAGAUAUGGAAUCAAAUGCUUGGUAUAUCUUUACCCAAAAAAAAGCUUGGUAUAUCAACUAUCGAAUUACUUAGAUGGGAACUGGUUUGAACGAAAAGCUUCGAUGAGAACGUUGUUUAGAUCAAUCACACUAUUGAGAAAAGCGUCACAAAUGGCAAUAUUAGAUUCAGAGGUUUAGCAAGAAAUGGACUACCCUUGGAUCUCUCUUCCUCUCAUGCGCCCAAACCACCACCACCCCCUGGGGGGUCCACCAUGAUAAAAUAAAAUGAAAUGAAAAAUAUUUCUCUCGCUCUCUUCCUCUCUGUUCGCUACUCCCGAGGGGAACUACUGUAGCCUACGGAAUAUAUCACGGGAGGGCAGAGCCGAUCGGAUGCAACGCCUGGCACCAAAAUGUCCUCAAACGCGCUCCGUGGCCCACCGUUUGGACCCACGACUCGGCAAACAUGCGGUGGCGUCCGUAGCCGUUACCGUAGGAAAUGGGAAUUAUGGGUGCCGUUGCACCGGACACAUACCCCUCGCCCGCACAGGCAAUCUCUGACACCCUAUAGUGGGCAUUUGGCUACGAUGCAUAUGUACAUAUCUCUCUCUCUCUCUCUCUCUCCUGAUCUCAUUUGCUGGCUACAAGUAUACGUGUGUCCCACCUCACGUGGCCUGGGCCCCACUCAGUUUAACCUCACCCGCACACGUCGCGUCACCCGACCCAAUACGCUGUGCCAUCAUUCGCUGCCAUCCCGUAAACAGGGUCCCGUAGCUGAUCAAGCUAGGGACCUUUUUAUUAGCUAAUAGCGUUUUGAGAGUAGUAGAUGGGGAUUAUUAUCUUAUACGCGUGGGCCGCGUCGCACUCGUGAGAUGGGGCCAUGCAACGAGGACAGAAGAACGGUAGGUGUUCAGAUCUUGAUGUCGUUACUACUCUUCCUUUCGUUUUAAUCCAACUCCAGCGGAAAGGGAAGAGCCGGAACGGGAUUCUGCAUUAAUUUUUCUUCUUCACGGUUUGCUUCCUCUACGGCUAGCAACCCUAAAACGUUAGUCUCGGGACUAGACUCUGAUUUGGAAAAGAAUAUCUACCUCUCAUCUUCUUCAAGCAAUGGAAACGAAAACAGCCAGAAGGGAGGGGAGAGAAUGAGUGGGGCUCCCGGGGCAGAGGGGCCCAGGUGAUGGUCACUGCCCACCACCAAUAUCCAGGCCCCCUUCUCACCCCCACCCCUACCCUUCUUUCCUCCCCCUUUAUAAAUAUGCAAUCCCCCACUUCCCAAAUCUACUCACCUCACCUCACCUCACCUCAUCCAGCCACACAAACACAAACCAGCACCACUCCUCUGCCACUCACCUGCACUCUCUCUCCCCUUCUCCCAACCUUCUCUCUCUCACAUACUCUCUCGCCCACUUUCUACACCAAAUCCAUCCCACGGAUCUAUAAAAUCAGCCGAUCCAGUGGAGAAGCAGGGGAGGAAGAAAGAAAGAUAAGGAGAUCUAUGGAGCUGUACAUGGACGAGAAAUGGAAGCUUUCGAAGAAGGGGAGCACGAAUAGCAGCUGCAGCGCCAGCAGGAGGAUGGUGGUGGGCGAAGGCGGGCCCUUCCUCAAAAGAUCCGCGAGCAUGAGAGAGGGGAAGUCGAGUUCGGGCUCGCCGCGGUCCUUCUCGAGCCGGUGCGCCAGCCUCGUAAAAGAACAGAGAGCCAGGUUCUACAUCAUGCGCCGCUGCGUCACCAUGCUCAUCUGCUGGCGAGACUACCCUUAAUUUCCUCCAACAACCCCUCUUUUUCGCUUCCUUCGCAACGCCCAGAAGGAAGCGAGCAAGCAGGCCAGGAAACAAGAAAGCUAGGAGAUAGAGAAGAGAGAGAGAGAUGAAAGCAAGAAAAUUAGAUGUGCUUGUACAUAGUUUAUAGUCUGUUUGUUAAUUUUGUUUUUGGGUUACUCGUGGUUUUGGAGAAGUUUUGGGUCUGCUGUAGUCUGUGGUGGCGACGCGAUGUGAGGCCUGGAAAUAUUCAUCAAGAGAGAGAGAGAGAGAGAGAGAGAGAGAGAGAUAGGAAAGUAGGUAGGGA